GAUGAAGAACGUAGCGAAAUGCGAUAAGUAAUGCGAAUUGCAGAAUUUCCGUGAGUCAUCGAAUCUUUGAACACACAUUGCGCCCACUGGUAUUCCGGUGGGCAUGCCUGUUCGAGCGUCAUUAUCCUCCCUCAAACCCCGGGUUUGGUGUUGGACCCAAGUUGUGUGAACAACUGGUCUCAAAGACAAUGACGGCGUCCGUGGGACCCUCGGUGCAACGAGCUUUUAGGAGCACGCAUCGAGUUGCAAGGACCUUCCGGGCCGGUCUCCUUUACCAUUUUACAAGGUUGACCUCGGAUCAGGUAGGAAUACCCGCUGAACUUAAGCAUAUCAAUAAGCGGAGGA
rnacentral:misc_RNA from 1 species